AUCAAGAUGUAUUUAAAGAUUUAUCGGUGAAAGAUGAGCAUGCGUCCCAUUAGCUAGUUGGUAUGGUAACGGCAUACCAAGGCUACGAUGGGUAGGGGUCCUGAGAGGGAGAUCCCCCACACUGGUACUGAGACACGGACCAGACUCCUACGGGAGGCAGCAGUGAGGAAUAUUGGACAAUGGGCGCAAGCCUGAUCCAGCCAUGCCGCGUGCAGGAUGACGGUCCUAUGGAUUGUAAACUGCUUUUGUACAGGAAGAAACCCUUUCACGUGUGGAAGAUUGACGGUACUGUAAGAAUAAGGAUCGGCUAACUCNGUGCCAGCAGCNGCGGUAAUACGGAGGAUCCAAGCGUUAUCCGGAAUCAUUGGGUUUAAAGGGUCCGUAGGCGGUCAGAUAAGUCAGUGGUGAAAGCCCAUCGCUCAACGGUGGAACGGCCAUUGAUACUGUCUGACUUGAAUUAUUAGGAAGUAACUAGAAUAUGUAGUGUAGCGGUGAAAUGCUUAGAGAUUACAUGGAAUACCAAUUGCGAAGGCAGGUUACUACUAAUGGAUUGACGCUGAUGGACGAAAGCGUGGGUAGCGAACAGGAUUAGAUACCCUGGUAGUCCACGCCGUAAACGAUGGAUACUAGCUGUUGGGAG
rnacentral:rRNA from 1 species